UACGAAGGGGGCUAGCGUUGCUCGGAAUCACUGGGCGUAAAGCGCACGUAGGCGGAUCUUUAAGUCAGGGGUGAAAUCCUGGAGCUCAACUCCAGAACUGCCCCUUGAUACUGGCCGAUCUUGAGUCCGGGAGAGGUGAGUGGAACUGCGAGUGUAGAGGUGAAAUUCGUAGAUAUUCGCAAGAACACCAGUGGCGAAGGCGG
rnacentral:rRNA from 1 species